rnacentral:rRNA from 1 species
CCUACGGGGUGCUGCAGUGAGGAAUAUUGGUCAAUGGGCGCUAGCCUGAACCAGCCAAGUAGCGUGAAGGAUGACUGCCCUAUGGGUUGUAAACUUCUUUUAUAUGGGAAUAAAGUGCAGUAUGUAUACUGCUUUGCAUGUACCUUAUGAAUAAGGAUCGGCUAACUCCGUGCCAGCAGCCGCGGUAAUACGGAGGAUCCGAGCGUUAUCCGGAUUUAUUGGGUUUAAAGGGAGCGUAGGCGGGUUGUUAAGUCAGUUGUGAAAGUUUGCGGCUCAACCGUAAAAUUGCAGUUGAUACUGGCAGCCUUGAGUACAGUAGAGGUAGGCGGAAUGCGUGGUGUAGCGGUGAAAUGCGUAGAUAUCACGAAGAACUCCGAUUGCGAAGGCAGCCUGCUGGACUGUAACUGACGCUGAGGCUCGAAAGUGUGGGUAUCAAACAGGAUUAGAUACCCUUGUAGUC